rnacentral:rRNA from 1 species
AGUCAUGGCGGGGUGCUUUACACAUGCAGUCGAACGGUGAAGCUCAGCUUGCUGGGUGGAUCAGUGGCGAACGGGUGAGUAACACGUGAGCAACCUGCCCUCCACUUCGGGAUAAGCCUUGGAAACGGGGUCUAAUACCGGAUAUGAGCGCCUGCCGCAUGGUGGGUGUUGGAAAGUUUUUCGGUGGGGGAUGGGCUCGCGGCCUAUCAGCUUGUUGGUGGGGUGAUGGCCUACCAAGGCUUCGACGGGUAGCCGGCCUGAGAGGGCGACCGGCCACACUGGGACUGAGACACGGCCCAGACUCCUACGGGAGGCAGCAGUGGGGAAUAUUGCACAAUGGGCGAAAGCCUGAUGCAGCGACGCCGCGUGAGGGAUGACGGCCUUCGGGUUGUAAACCUCUUUCAGCAGGGAAGAAGCGCAAGUGACGGUACCUGCAGAAGAAGCGCCGGCUAACUACGUGCCAGCAGCCGCGGUAAUACGUAGGGCGCAAGCGUUGUCCGGAAUUAUUGGGCGUAAAGAGCUCGUAGGCGGUUUGUCGCGUCUGGUGUGAAAUCCCGAGGCUCAACCUCGGGCUUGCAUCGGGUACGGGCAGACUAGAGUGCGGUAGGGGAGACUGGAAUUCCUGGUGUAGCGGUGGAAUGCGCAGAUAUCAGGAGGAACACCGAUGGCGAAGGCAGGUCUCUGGGCCGCAACUGACGCUGAGGAGCGAAAGCAUGGGGAGCGAACAGGAUUAGAUACCCUGGUAGUCCAUGCCGUAAACGUUGGGCACUAGGUGUGGGGCUCAUUCCACGAGUUCCGUGCCGCAGCUAACGCAUUAAGUGCCCCGCCUGGGGAGUACGGCCGCAAGGCUAAAACUCAAAGGAAUUGACGGGGGCCCGCACAAGCGGCGGAGCAUGCGGAUUAAUUCGAUGCAACGCGAAGAACCUUACCAAGGCUUGACAUGCACCGGAAACCGCCAGAGAUGGUGGCCCCGCAAGGUCGGUGCACAGGUGGUGCAUGG